rnacentral:rRNA from 1 species
CCUACGGGAGGCAGCAGUGAGGAAUAUUGGUCAAUGGGCGUAAGUCUGAACCAGCCAAGUCGCGUGAGGGAUGAAGGUUCUAUGGAUCGUAAACCUCUUUUAUAAGGGAAUAAAGUGCGGGACGUGUCCCGUUUUGUAUGUACCUUAUGAAUAAGGAUCGGCUAACUCCGUGCCAGCAGCCGCGGUAAUACGGAGGAUCCGAGCGUUAUCCGGAUUUAUUGGGUUUAAAGGGUGCGUAGGCGGCCUUUUAAGUCAGCGGUGAAAGUCUGUGGCUCAACCAUAGAAUUGCGGUUGAAACUGAGAGGCUUGAGUAUGUGUGAGGCAGGCGGAAUGCGUGGUGUAGCGGUGAAAUGCUUAGAUAUCACGCAGAACCCCGAUUGCGAAGGCAGCCUGCCAAGCCAUGACUGACGCUGAUGCACGAAAGCGUGGGUAUCAAACAGGAUUAGAUACCCCUGUAGUC